rnacentral:lncRNA from 1 species
GGUUGGUGAACACAUGGAGGUGCGGGGAGGGUGGCGAGCCCAGCGAGGACGUGGAUUCCCCACGGCCCUUCCCACAUACCUCGUUCUUUCAUUUGGCUGUUUCUCAGUUGUGUGCUUUAUAAUCAACUGACAAUGCAAGGGGAAGAGGUUUCUGCAGGGCUGCCGGCUGUUAGAGAUGCAGAGAAAUCACGAUGCAAUGUCAGCCUGCAGCGAUCCCAGUUCCAGCUCUUGAAGACGACAUAAUCCUUCAUGCCUUAGUCUUCACAUAUGUUGAACCCUCUGACCAGAUAUCUGUUCCUUAUUUCUCUGCCUGUUCAACAGUCG